rnacentral:tRNA from 1 species
GGGGAUGUAGCUCAGCUGGGAGAGCAUCUGCUUUGCAAGCAGAGGGUCAGCGGUUCGAGUCCGCUCAUCUCCA